AUAAGAGUUCCUUCACGGACACUUAUAUAAUUUUGAUUGUUGCUCAGAAAGCCCUCAUUGUUUACCAGUUGGCUUUCGAGCAAUAAUUGAAACCAGAUAAGUGAUCCCCUCAACGCUGACGAUU
rnacentral:pre_miRNA from 15 species